UUGUAGAACCUUCUCUUAAAACUGCUUUUGCCACAUCCCAUAGGUUUGGAUAUGUUGUGCUUCCAUUUUCAUUUGUUUCAAGAUUUUU